UGGGGUCACAGGGUGGUUGGC
rnacentral:miRNA from 1 species